rnacentral:ncRNA from 1 species
UUAUGCGCUAUGAUGAAGAGUAGUACACAUUCAACUCAUUUGAAGAGAGCCUGCGGUGCUGGGAGCAGGUAAUGGGCAAUGUGGAAUGGACUUCUGAGCAGCUGACUGAACGUAAGUAGGCUCAGCCGGAGCAGUCUCCGUUACCAACGUCUCGAGCGAUUUCAUUGUAAUGGAAUAAUCAGGGUGGCACCACGGUUCAUUCGUCCCUUUU